UGAACGACUCUCGGCAACGGAUAUCUCGGCUCUCGCAUCGAUGAAGAACGUAGCGAAAUGCGAUACUUGGUGUGAAUUGCAGAAUCCCGCGAACCAUCGAGUCUUUGAACGCAAGUUGCGCCCGAAGCCAUUAGGUUGAGGGCACGUCUGCCUGGGCGUCUCAC
rnacentral:rRNA from 9 species